UCCGGCUCCAGGAGGCGACACCAUCCCCCGCAGCUCCGCACAAAGAGAUCAGAUCCGACUUUAGUCACUUAUGGUCCGGUUAAUGUGGAGCUGAGCGCCGGAGAAGAACCGUGUCUCCUCUGCAUCGCUGCUGCCGUCGUCGUCCUCCAGCUGCUGCUCAGGUUCACCAUCACCAAGGUCGUGGCCCCCGGGGGUCAGAGGUCACAGGAGGUGGCCCCGGGCCCCUGCAUUAUGUCAGCAGCUUGACUCCACUGGAUCCGGCUCUUCCCAUAAUGCACCUGGAUAGUAGCUUCUUCCUGACGUGAUGUUAGAUGUGAUGACAUCUCUGUGACAUCACCAUAUUGGUUUUCCCACUCAGACUGGAAGCCACACCCCCCCACACACACACCGUCCGCUCGUCUGAAGAUGCUGCUGUGACGUGCAGCCUCUGUUACCAUGGCAACUGAACACGGCACACAACGGCACGGUGUGAUUGACAGCCGGUACCAUCAGGUGUCGGUGGACGUGCAGCAGUGUCCUCGGAGCUCUGUCAGGCCACGCCCCCCUGCUCCCUCCAAAUAUGGUCACAUCUGGUUUAAAAAACAAAACAAAAACAAGAUGGCGCCGAGCUGGAGGCCUCAGACCAAUGAGAUGUCUUGACACUUGGUAUCACCUGAAAAGUGAAGAUUUUUUAAUCAUUAUAUAAACUUAAAACUAUGGAAGCUGAAACCAGUGGACUUUAAUAAUACUCAUUAGUUCCAUUUUUAAUGCAUUAACUUGAGAUAAUGAGCUAAAUUAAGUCCUUAUAUGAAGAAAAGUGGAUAUUAAACACAUUAUCUUAAAAUUUAAAUUAAAACAUAAAAUGUGUUAUUGAUCCUCCGUAUAAGACCAAUAAUAAUCUAAUAAAAAUGUUACGUUCUUCAUCCUUUGGAUCAUGUUUUAGGUUCUGCAUCAGAGUAUUUUUCAUGAAUAAGAAUCAGAUGGAGUUUUAUCGUGAAAGGUUCAGAUCCUGUAGAAAUGUAAAUGUAUCAAAGUGAGAAACAGAAUCAGACGCGAGCUCUUCAGUAGAAUUCUUUAUUGAAUGAAGCAAAAAUAAUGAAGAGAAUUAGAAAAAAAAAUCCCCUUUAUGAAAAUAAAUAAAUCAUUUUCUUUGACAGAAGCACAGAAACUCCACCUGCAGUCGGGUUCUUCUUCUUGUGCUGCCGCCGCCGCCGUCGUUUUAUCGUUCACUGCGUCAAACCAGAAGAUUUAUUUUAUUUCAUUUUUUUAUUUUAUUUUCUGGCGACAGAAAGAAAAAAAAAACGACCAAUGAGAAGCGGCGACGCUCUGAUGCAGUUUGGCAAAGACGAGAGAGAGAAUAAUCAUGAUCCCGGACGUCCCUUCAAAAUAAAAGCUCAGUGUGCCAGUUAAGCGUUGCCGUGGUGACUAAUUACAGACUUUCCUUAACGAGCGACCUCACCUCCAC